CGAAUAUAUUCGAUAUAGUGCUAUAUAUUAGUAGUAACAAGUGUAAAGGCCGAUUUAUUGGCCUGCAUUUGUGGGAGGGGUGUAGCUGCCUUUAUAUCCGGCAUACACCCCUCCCUCAAUGAACGUCUCGUCUUCGUUUCUACCUACCACA